rnacentral:rRNA from 1 species
GAUAAACGCUAGCGGCAGGCUUAACACAUGCAAGUCGAGGGGCAGCAUAGAUUGUAGCAAUACAAUUGGUGGCGACCGGCGCACGGGUGCGUAACGCGUAUGCAACCUACCCGUCACAGGGGGAUAAUCCGGAGAAAUCUGGUCUAAUACCCCAUAACAUAUGGAUCGGCAUCGGUUCAUGUUGAAAUUUUCGGAGGUGUCGGAUGGGCAUGCGUAGCAUUAGCUUGUUGGUGAGGUAACGGCUCACCAAGGCGACGAUGCUUAGGGGGACUGAGAGGUUUUCCCCCCACACUGGUACUGAGACACGGACCAGACUCCUACGGGAGGCAGCAGUGAGGAAUAUUGGUCAAUGGGCGCAAGCCUGAACCAGCCGUGCCGCGUGCAGGAUGACGGCUCUAUGAGUUGUAAACUGCUUUUGUACGAGGGUAAAGUGGGUUACGUGUAACCUUUUGAAAGUAUCGUACGAAUAAGGAUCGGCUAACUCCGUGCCAGCAGCCGCAGUAA